AUGAUUCUGCUCCACUCCCUGCGGCAGAUCCUGUGCGAUUCCACCACCCCCAGAUGAGUCACGACAGCAGACACCGCUCCACUCCCUGUAACUGAUCCCACGUGGCGAGCCACGGCGAUAGCCACGACCCCACUCCAUUACUCUCCGCAAUAAAUUCCUCCUGACUCUGGGCGGCCCACCACCAGAUGGUUACAGGUGUCGCUAUCAAUCUGUUGCCCUCUCCGUCUAUAAAAGGAAAACCCCAGAUACGUUAUUUCAUAAGCUCUCACUUUUCAUCUCAAAACUCUGCUAAAUUCUCCGUUCGAGCACUCUAUUCUUGUUGAGGCAGAGAACUGACUUGAGCAUCGGAGGGU
rnacentral:lncRNA from 1 species